UCCGAUAUGGUGUAGUGGCUAACAUUAUCGCCUCUCAAAUGAUUGGUAUCAUUAUCGCGAUAGCCCGGGGUUCGAUUCCCCGUGUCGGAA
rfam:Lentinula edodes NBRC 111202 DNA, contig: scaffold78.